AUUUACCUCUGAACUUAACCUAGUUUACUCCAGAACCAGCUACUUAGUAUACCCCUCAGGUAACAAGAGCCUUUUUUUACUACAUGACUCCUGGAAGCCAUCCAUACCACCACUGGUGAGCUUAGCUUUAUUACUCAACUACUGUAUGUCCUUGGAAUACCCCCGGGUGAUUUCAAACAGGCCCAUUUUCAACAUUGUCACUCAUUUGAUAAUGUAGCGAUCAAGCAACUUUUCAGUUACGCCAAGCCCUAUGAUUGGUCAGGUUUCCAGCUAGUCAUGUGCAUCAACCAAUCAUAGCCCAUUGCUCGACCACCAGGCUGACACACAAAGUUCCUUAACGGCAUAACAACAGUUCAGCGUCAACGCAAUGAAAACUACAUAGUCACACCACAAUGUGCAAAAAUAUAAACAUUUAAAGCAAAAGACAGGAAUGACAAUGAAACGUUUCAACACACCAGACUGUACAAAAAUUCUUGAAAUUGUGAUGUGAAACCAUUUCCCAAAAAGGCACCAUCUCCAGUUUUGCAAAAAGCCUCGUGAAAAUGUAUCAUGACCUGUGCUGAAUAUGAAAAAUGACCUUUUAAGAUUUACAUUAAAUAAGAAAUUGUUUUUUUGUUGGCUGAUCUCAUUAUCAAAACAAUUAUAAGAAACAUAAUCAAAUGCAAAAGAGAAAUUCAACAUUAUCAAAUUCAAGCAUUUUCCAGGUUUUCCUCUUUAGUUUGCUCCUAAUUUGGCUGGAAGAAAAACACACAAAAAAAACUUUCAAAUAAGGGGUGCAGUUGUUCCAAUUGAGUUCCACUUGGUAUAAGCUCGAAGGGACUGAGUGGCGAGUUCAAAGCCACCUGAAGGUGAAUGACUAAAGAGGCUUCUGUGAAAUUGUCUCACACACUCUCAACUCCCUUCUGAGAAAGUGUGUCACAAACAUUCUUCAACCCGAGCCCCCAGAAAACACAAACACAACUCCCUUGUGAGAACUUGCGACACUGCAGAAGGUUCUUCACCUCCCCAUGGACUUGGAGACUUGGAUCCUCUGGAACCUCCAGACUUCUGAGGCUUGAGGACAGUUGAUCCAUUUCCCUCAAGUCAACCAGUCACCCAAGAGCAACACUGUAGGUGUCCAAAGGUUGGAAAAAAGAGACACAUAUGCACAGACUAAGAAGAACUUGCUGACCACAGCAUUUAGAGUGUUUUCUGAUUCUGUCCAAGGAGGGUGUGCUGCAGGUCAGCCAUGUUUCAUGUUGUCGUGGGGAGAUCAGGAGGGUCAGAGAUAAAGAGCUUUACUGAGCCAGAACCACCAUGGCCACUGACAUUGAAACAAUAAUGCAGGAUGGAAAAAUAGCACAAAAACCAUUCCAGAGAAAAACAAAAAUCACCAUAGCCAACCAAUGCACGAGUGCUAAGUAUGGACAACAGUGGUCUGGUCAGGACAGUAGAUUAGGGUGAGAUAGCACCAGGGUAGCAGUAGCACGGGGGUAAGACAAGCGAGGACAGCAGAGUGGGGUAAGAUAGGGCCAGGGGAGUAGGGAUGGGAGUAAGACAGGUCCAGGGAAGUAGGAGGGGGGUAAGACAGGUCCAGGGGAGUAGGAGAGAGGUAAGACAGGUCCAGGGGAGUAGGGAUGGGAGUAAAACGGGUCCAGGGGAGUAGGAAGGGGGUAAGACAGGUCCAGGGGAGUAGGAGGGGGGUAAGACAGGUCCAGGGGAGUAUUGUGGGGGAAAGACAGGUCCAU